AGAGAGGAGCUUGCUCUUCUUGGAUGAGUUGCGAACGGGUGAGUAACGCGUAGGUAACCUGCCUUGUAGCGGGGGAUAACUAUUGGAAACGAUAGCUAAUACCGCAUAACAAUGGAUGACACAUGUCAUUUAUUUGAAAGGGGCAAUUGCUCCACUACAAGAUGGACCUGCGUUGUAUUAGCUAGUAGGUGAGGUAAUGGCUCACCUAGGCGACGAUACAUAGCCGACCUGAGAGGGUGAUCGGCCACACUGGGACUGAGACACGGCCCAGACUCCUACGGGAGGCAGCAGUAGGGAAUCUUCGGCAAUGGGGGCAACCCUGACCGAGCAACGCCGCGUGAGUGAAGAAGGUUUUCGGAUCGUAAAGCUCUGUUGUAAGUCAAGAACGGGUGUGAGAGUGGAAAGUUCACACUGUGACGGUAGCUUACCAGAAAGGGACGGCUAACUACGUGCCAGCAGCCGCGGUAAUACGUAGGUCCCGAGCGUUGUCCGGAUUUAUUGGGCGUAAAGCGAGCGCAGGCGGUUUGAUAAGUCUGAAGUUAAAGGCUGUGGCUCAACCAUAGUUCGCUUUGGAAACUGUCAAACUUGAGUGCAGAAGGGGAGAGUGGAAUUCCAUGUGUAGCGGUGAAAUGCGUAGAUAUAUGGAGGAACACCGGUGGCGAAAGCGGCUCUCUGGUCUGUAACUGACGCUGAGGCUCGAAAGCGUGGGGAGCGAACAGGAUUAGAUACCCUGGUAGUCCACGCCGUAAACGAUGAGUGCUAGGUGUUGGAUCCUUUCCGGGAUUCAGUGCCGAAGCUAACGCAUUAAGCACUCCGCCUGGGGAGUACGACCGCAAGGUUGAAACUCAAAGGAA
rnacentral:rRNA from 1 species